GACGAACGCUGGCGGCGUGCUUAACACAUGCAAGUCGAACGGUGAAGCGCCUUCCUUUUUGGUGGGUGUGGAUGAGUGGCGAACGGGUGAGUAACACGUGAGUAACCUGCCCCCUUCUUCUGGAUAACCGCAUGAAAGUGUGGCUAAUACGGGAUAUUCUGGGUCUGUCGCAUGAUGGGUCUGGGAAAGAUAUUGUUUCGGUGGGGGAUGGGCUCGCGGCCUAUCAGCUUGUUGGUGGGGUGAUGGCCUACCAAGGCGGUGACGGGUAGCCGGCCUGAGAGGGUGGACGGUCACACUGGGACUGAGACACGGCCCAGACUCCUACGGGAGGCAGCAGUGGGGAAUAGUGCACAAUGGGCGCAAGCCUGAUGCAGCGACGCCGCGGGAGGGAUGGAGGCCUUCGGGUUGUGAACCUCUUUCGCCAGUGAAGCAGGCCUGCCUCGUUUGUGGGUGGGUUGACGGUAGCUGGAUAAGAAGCGCCGGCUAACUACGUG
rnacentral:rRNA from 1 species